rnacentral:tRNA from 1 species
GGCCCAUUAACUCAGCGGUAGAGGGCUACUACCAUCCGGCUGUAGCCCGGACGAGAGUGGCUGGGGUUCGAAUCCCCAAUGGGUCG